rnacentral:rRNA from 1 species
UACGGAGGGAGCUAGCGUUGUUCGGAAUUACUGGGCGUAAAGCGCAACGUAGGCGGCUUUGUAAGUUAGAGGUGAAAGCCCGGGGCUCCGAACCCCGGAAUUGGCCUUUAAGCGUGCAUCGCUUGAAUCCGGGGAGAGGUGAGUGGAAUUCCGAGUGUAGAGGUGAAAUUCGUAGAUAUUGGAAGAACACCAGUGGCGAAAGGCG